rnacentral:lncRNA from 1 species
AAGUCUUCUGUUUUAAUUUCUUCACCAGACGACUGAAACGUAAGUCGUCUAGACCCUAAACAUAACCCCUAAACUUAAUUAACUAACUAAACACUUCAUAAAAUCAAAUUAAAUUUUAAAAGUGUUUACUAUACACAAAAAUAAACACGUAUAGGUAAAAAAUUAUUUUUUCAAAAAAACAUUCAAGCUUUCCAAAAUCUAACCCUAAGAAUAUAUACAAUACUAUAACAUAUGUUCUCAAACCCUAG